UUAUGACCUCAAGCUGGUUGCGGUUGGUUUAGAUACUAUAUUCAAGCACAAUACAUGGAGGAGAAGAAGGGGAUUCCCAGAAGCAAAUCAUCUAAUUUCCUUUCCUGUAUCAUUUGGCUGAGUUUGGAUCUCAAGCCCAUUUGUUUAAAAAACAACGGAUCCCAUCCAGGGUGCCACAUUACAGUUAGUUGUUGUAUGUUUCUCUUGGAUAUGAUGGUAUCUCAGAUUUUCUUGUUUUCCUGACAGUUUUGAGGAGUACUGGUCAGGUAUAUUGUAGGAUGCUUUUCGAAUGAAAUUUGUAUUAUGCUUUUCUUGUGAUUAGACUAGGCUGAUGGGUUUUUGGGAGAAAGACCAAAGACAUAAAAUGUCAUUAUCACUGAGGACACACAUCAGUAUGAUUUAUGAAUACUGAUGUUGACCUUGAUCACGUGGCUGAAUUAGUGUUUCUCAGAUUUCUCUAUAGGGUGGAAUAUCUACAUAAUUUAUUGGUAAUUCUUCUGCAUGGGAGAUUUGUCUCUUUUCCCCAUUUAUUAAUUUAUUUAACCAUCCAUUUAUGGUUUUUAUUUUUUGGGUUAUAAUCCAACACUAUUUUGUUGCUCAAAUUAUUUCAGCUUUGGCCACGAGGGACUCUUUCAGUUUGUUCCAGUGCCUCUUUAAAUGCCACUGGAAGUUUUAGUUAGGGGAGAGAGAUUCUUUGAUAUAUCUGCUGAAUAGAGAAUAGAUUGUAAAUGAAAGCAAGAAUAAAUAUAGGGAGGAAUUUAACCUAGAGAAAACUGAAAAUGGCUUGAACUAAAGUGGUAGCAAUGGAGAUAGUGAAAGGUGGCUGGAUUUGGAAUAUGUUUCAGAGGUAGAAUCCACAGUGUCAGCUGAUGAAUGGCAUGUGGGGGCAAGGUAGAGAGCUGAAGGGAAUGAAGGAGACAAAUCAUGGAUAAAAGUAAAGGACCAAAGGACCAAAGAAUCAAGAGUAAUAGGUGAAUGGUGGUGCUCUCAGGUGAGGUAGGAAAGUUGGCAGAGGAUCAGGUUUUGAGCUUGAAAGUAAAUUUCUGUGCUGGGCAUGUUAAAUUUGAAUGCCUAUUAAACAUGCUAGACACAUUAAGUGAACAGCUCACAGGUUUGCAAGUUGAUAAGUAGGUUUGAACACGGGGAAAGGUCAUGGUUGCAGGUGUAAAUUUGGGAAUGCUUAGCACCUAGAUUGUAUUCAGAGUCAUGAUAAUGGUAUUUAGAGUUUUGUAGCUACAUAAUAAUGCUUUUAGGGAGGGGAGAAAGACCCAAUAAAGAAGACUAUGAAAGAGAAACCAAUAGAAAAAACCAUGGAGUCCGAUGUCAUAGAAGCCAAGAAGUAUACUGACAGUAUCACCUUUGAAGAAUUGCAUUGUGACCCUUUCAAGACAAGAAUGAGAACUCUGCAGUUGACAACGUGGCCUGAGGGAAGGAAAUGAGAAGGACAAUUACCAGGAUGCGGGAGUAGCACAUGUGCCACGCCACAUCAUUCCAGACACUACAUUCCCCCUUCCCAAUACCUCAUUUCCACCCUGUAUGCAUACGAAUAUUUCUUUCAAAGAUGAUAAAGAAGAAGGUAGCUAUUUUCGAAAGCUGAUAGAAUGGGAUGGUUAAGAAUUUGGGCUCUGUGUUUCUUCUCAGUUUUAUUACUCAUUAUUUAACAUUUUUCAGCUAAAACUUUCUCAUCUGUCUAAUUAUAAUAACAACAGUACUCUCAUAUUCCGUGAGAUUAGUGUGAGGUUUACAUCCAAAUCAUACCCAGAAUCACACCUUUUUAAAGAAAAAAUACUUUCAUAUACGGAAGAGGAAGUAAAUAACAAAUGAUGAACUACAAUGUCUAAGGUGUUUUAUGUACAUUAUAAUAUUUAUUAUUGUUAUAAGUCUUGGAGUUAGUUGGUUUUGUCUCCAUUUUACAAAUGAGAAAACAGACGUUGAUCAAGGUAAUUAUCCAAAUCCACUCAACCAGAGGGUUAAACCCCUGUCUGAUUUAUAAACUAUCCUUUUUCCCUUACAUAAUGCUACCAUUCACUUCACUGAUUUUAAGUUGAGGCCCAAAAUAAAUUAAAUAACCAACAUAAUUGUGAUUUGUAUUUGUUUUGGCAUACUGUUUACAUAGACAUGCCCACUGCUAUUCCCACUAUUAAUUUUAGAAGUGUUUUC